AUGCCAAUUUCAUUUUUUCCUUUAAAAAGCAUUUUUAAAGAUGGGAUGUUCUUUAGAUUCAGAGAAAAACUUGAGAGGAGCAACCUGAAUAUGGCUAGCACUGGGUCUCAAGAAGCUCUUUGGGAAAGAAGUGCCAUAAUCCAGGUCUUCCAGUCCCAUUUUCCUACUAGCCAUUGUACUCAGCAGAAGGGCCCAGGAUGCUUUCCUAAGAAAACCAUCCUGGGGUCACAACUCCUUACUCUAGCAAGAGCAACAGAGAAAAACAUGUUUUAAUUAACAACGCAGUUAAUUAAACAAGAC